GUUAGGAAUAUUGGACAAUGGGCGCAAGCCUGAUCCAGCCAUGCCGCGUGAGUGAUGAAGGCCUUCGGGUUGUAAAGCUCUUUAGCCGAUGAUUAUAAUGACUGUAGUCGGAAAAUAAGCCCCGGCUAACUUCGUGCCAGCAGCCGCGGUAAUACGAAGGGGGCGAGCGUUAUUCGGAAUCACUGGGCGUAAAGCGUGCGUAGGCUGUUUUGUAAGUCAGAAGUGAAAGCCCAGGGCUUAACCCUGGAAUUGCUUUUGAAACUACAAGACUCGAAUUCGGGAGAGGAUAGCGGAAUUGUCAGUGUAGCAGUGAAAUGCGUAGAUAUUGACAGGAACACCAGUGGCGCAAGCGGCUAUCUGGACCGAUAUUGACGCUGAGGCACGAAAGCGUGGGGAGCAAACAGGAUUAGAAACCCUGGUAGUCC
rnacentral:rRNA from 1 species